AUUGAACGCUGGCGGCAUGCCUUACACAUGCAAGUCGAACGGCAGCAUGGAGAGCUUGCUCUCUGAUGGCGAGUGGCGAACGGGUGAGUAAUGCAUCGGAACGUACCGUGUAAUGGGGGAUAACGUAGCGAAAGUUACGCUAAUACCGCAUACGACCUUAGGGUGAAAGCAGGGGAUCGCAAGACCUUGCGUUAUACGAGCGGCCGGUGUCAGAUUAGCUAGUUGGUGAGGUAAAGGCUAACCAAGGCGACGAGCUGUAGCGGGUCUGAGAGGAUGAUCCGCCACACUGGGACUGAGACACGGCCCAGACUCCUACGGGAGGCAGCAGUGGGGAAUUUUGGACAAUGGGGGCAACCCUGAUCCAGCCAUGCCGCGUGAGUGAAGAAGGCCUUCGGGUUGUAAAGCUCUUUCGGCCGGGAAGAAAUCGCACAGGCUAAUACUCUGUGUGGAUGACGGUACCGGCAUAAGGAGCACCGGCUAACUACGUGCCAGCAGCCGCAGUAA
rnacentral:rRNA from 1 species